AGUGAACGCUGGCGGUAGGCCUAACACAUGCAAGUCGAACGGCAGCACAGUAAGAGCUUGCUCUUACGGGUGGCGAGUGGCGGACGGGUGAGGAAUACAUCGGAAUCUACUUUUUCGUGGGGGAUAACGUAGGGAAACUUACGCUAAUACCGCAUACGACCUACGGGUGAAAGAAGGGGAUCUUCGGACCUUGCGCGAUUGAAUGAGCCGAUGUCGGAUUAGCUAGUUGGCGGGGUAAAGGCCCACCAAGGCGACGAUCCGUAGCUGGUCUGAGAGGAUGAUCAGCCACACUGGAACUGAGACACGGUCCAGACUCCUACGGGAGGCAGCAGUGGGGAAUAUUGGACAAUGGGCGCAAGCCUGAUCCAGCCAUACCGCGUGGGUGAAGAAGGCCUUCGGGUUGUAAAGCCCUUUUGUUGGGAAAGAAAAGCAGCAGGUUAAUACCCCGCUGUUCUGACGGGACCCAAAGAAUAAGCACCGGCUAACUGCGU
rnacentral:rRNA from 1 species